ACGCUAGCUACAGGCUUAACACAUGCAAGUCGAGGGGCAGCAUGGUCUUAGCUUGCUAAGACUGAUGGCGACCGGCGCACGGGUGAGUAACACGUAUCCAACCUGCCGUCUACUCUUGGACAGCCUUCUGAAAGGAAGAUUAAUACAAGAUGGCAUCAUGAGUCCGCAUGUUCACAUGAUUAAAGGUAUUCCGGUAGACGAUGGGGAUGCGUUCCAUUAGAUAGUAGGCGGGGUAACGGCCCACCUAGUCUUCGAUGGAUAGGGGUUCUGAGAGGAAGGUCCCCCACAUUGGAACUGAGACACGGUCCAAACUCCUACGGGAGGCAGCAGUGAGGAAUAUUGGUCAAUGGGCGAGAGCCUGAACCAGCCAAGUAGCGUGAAGGAUGACUGCCCUAUGGGUUGUAAACUUCUUUUAUAAAGGAAUAAAGUCGGGUAUGCAUACCCGUUUGCAUGUACUUUAUGAAUAAGGAUCGGCUAACUCCGUGCCAGCAGCCGCGGUAAUACGGAGGAUCCGAGCGUUAUCCGGAUUUAUUGGGUUUAAAGGGAGCGUAGAUGGAUGUUUAAGUCAGUUGUGAAAGUUUGCGGCUCAACCGUAAAAUUGCAGUUGAUACUGGAUAUCUUGAGUGCAGUUGAGGCAGGCGGAAUUCGUGGUGUAGCGGUGAAAUGCUUAGAUAUCACGAAGAACUCCGAUUGCGAAGGCAGCCUGCUAAGCUGCAACUGACAUUGAGGCUCGAAAGUGUGGGUAUCAAACAGGAUUAGAUACCCUGGUAGUCCACACGGUAAACGAUGAAUACUCGCUGUUUGCGAUAUACGGCAAGCGGCCAAGCGAAAGCGUUAAGUAUUCCACCUGGGGAGUACGCCGGCAACGGUGAAACUCAAAGGAAUUGACGGGGGCCCGCACAAGCGGAGGAACAUGUGGUUUAAUUCGAUGAUACGCGAGGAACCUUACCCGGGCUUAAAUUGCAGAUGAAUUACGGUGAAAGCCGUAAGCCGCAAGGCAUCUGUGAAGGUGCUGCAUGGUUGUCGUCAGCUCGUGCCGUGAGGUGUCGGCUUAAGUGCCAUAACGAGCGCAACCCUUGUUGUCAGUUACUAACAGGUUCCGCUGAGGACUCUGACAAGACUGCCAUCGUAAGAUGUGAGGAAGGUGGGGAUGACGUCAAAUCAGCACGGCCCUUACGUCCGGGGCUACACACGUGUUACAAUGGGGGGUACAGAGGGCCGCUACCACGCGAGUGGAUGCCAAUCCCCAAAACCUCUCUCAGUUCGGACUGGAGUCUGCAACCCGACUCCACGAAGCUGGAUUCGCUAGUAAUCGCGCAUCAGCCACGGCGCGGUGAAUACGUUCCCGGGCCUUGUACACACCGCCCGUCAAGCCAUGGGAGCCGGGGGUACCUGAAGUGCGUAACCGCGAGGAGCGCCCUAGGGUAAAACUGGUGA
rnacentral:rRNA from 1 species